AGCAGAGAUGCUUUGGUGCCUUCGGGAACUCUGAGACAGGUGCUGCAUGGCUGUCGUCAGCUCGUGUUGUGAAAUGUUGGGUUAAGUCCCGCAACGAGCGCAACCCUUAUCCUUUGUUGCCAGCGGUCCGGCCGGGAACUCAAAGGAGACUGCCAGUGAUAAACUGGAGGAAGGUGGGGAUGACGUCAAGUCAUCAUGGCCCUUACGAGUAGGGCUACACACGUGCUACAAUGGCGCAUACAAAGAGAAGCGACCUCGCGAGAGCAAGCGGACCUCAUAAAGUGCGUCGUAGUCCGGAUUGGAGUCUGCAACUCGACUCCAUGAAGUCGGAAUCGCUAGUAAUCGUGGAUCAGAAUGCCACGGUGAAUACGUUCCCGGGCCUUGUACACACCGCCCGUCACACCAUGGGAGUGGGUUGCAAAAGAAGUAGGUAGCUUAACCUUCGGGAGGGCGCUUACCACUUUGUGAUUCAUGACUGGGGUGAAGUCGUAACAAGGUAGGCGUAGUGCU
rnacentral:rRNA from 1 species